rnacentral:rRNA from 1 species
CCUUUUUUUUCCGCGCUGCGUGCAGUCUCCUCUCUUCGGCCAAGGGGGCCAGAAUAGGCGGGCUGCUUUACCUUCGGACGCGGAGGUGGUCGGCGCAGGAGGAGGGAAAGGGAGGGGCGCGGCGCGCCGGCCGCCGCCGGCGGACGGGGGCCGCGGCGGCCAGCCACCGGCUGGCCUCCUCUCCCCACGCCGACCAGGGCCGGGCGCGCAGCGAGCUGUCGCGGCGCCACGAGGAGCUGCGGCGGCGGCGGCAGCCCCGCCCCUGCCCCUGCCCCAUGAGCGUCCGGUCGAUGAUGUGGAGCGACCCCGAGAAGCACGAGAGGCACGGCCCCGAGACCAGCGAGUAGUUCGCGAGGCAGUUCAGGUUCUAACACGUCUUCUGCAAGCAGUCCCUCCUUCCCGUCGGCUGCCGCGGCUCGGACCACCGGCCCCUCUAGGAGAGGAAGAAGUGCGCGUUGUCGAAGCGGCAGAGGCUGGCGCCGCUCCAGUAGUGGAAGCUCCCGAGUUACUGUGGUUCGUCGCGAGUCCGUCGUGACGACUGGAAGACGUGGCAGUAAUCGGACCCCUCGCAGCCCGAACAAGACAGCUAGCGUCAGGGUCUUCCGCCGUUGUUGACCAAGACCGAGUACUGGAAUUCGGGGAACCGCCCUCACAUGAUGACCUGUUUUCGUAGCUCCUUUCUCCUCUAGUUCCACUUCUACCAGAACAGGCUGCUGCCCUUGUCGCACAGGCUCUAAGACCACGCCCCGCUGCUGCACGUCCAGCUCGUCUACUCCUCCCUCGAGUUCUACUCACUCUUCCCCUACUAAAUGCACUUCCCCUAUAAGCUCUGUACUGGCUAUCGAAACUACAGACCUCAUAUCACUGGUUCGUUCGUCAAGUUUCGUCCGAAAGGACACUACGCCACGUUUUACUUCCACCCUCUCCUCUUGUAAGGGAACCUUAUACCGAGUUUGGGUAAAUAAGGAAUGUAGUAUUUCAACCCGGUACAAGAAACUUAAUAUAUGAAAAGUGAGUUGCGGAGGGGAUCGUCAGAGUCUAAGUAGGUUAGCAGUCGUACGCCAAGUGUUGGAAUACUUUGAGACGGUACCUAAGUAGGACGAAGCUUGUGUCUCCUGGAUUUGUGAGUAAACGAAAGAACUCCCGUACGGUAAACGUGGUUGUUGCUACUCCAUACAAGCCGGAGUGUAACACCUAACGGUCAAGGUACCGGGCUAAUGCCAGACGUAUUAUUCUUACGGUUAGUUAAUUGAUGGCCUUUGGUAAAUCCGGAACAAACCAUGCAUGAUCCCAAAAACUCUCCUAACCACCCCUAUUAGGGGCGUCCCUAACCCACUUUGGGGUUGGAAGUGGGUUAGGGAAGUUUAGGGGUAAAUGGGGGUUAGGUGAUCCAUCCCCAUCACACAACCCAUAACUCUUUUUAUGUGAUUUCGAACCCCUAAACACCCCUAUUUUGUACAGUUUAUGUGAUCUUGGUUUGCCACAAAACCCUAUACACCCCUAAAUCCCCAAAUUGGCCCUAUUAGGGGUGGUUAGAAGAUAUAGAUUUAUCGAUCGGGGGUGAUUGAUAAGGAGAAUUGUACGUUCGUACGGUGUAGUAGCGUAUUAUACGUACUCUUUUCCGGGUGGGGGUGAUGGUAUAUAGAGAGUUGUACGUUCGUACGGUGAAGUAGUACUGUAAGUACCUUUUUGUGGGUAGAGUUGU